rnacentral:rRNA from 1 species
CAGCCGCCGCGGUAAUACGAAGGGGGCUAGCGUUGUUCGGAAUUACUGGGCGUAAAGCGCACGUAGGCGGACCGAUCAGUCAGGGGUGAAAUCCCAGAGCUCAACUCUGGAACUGCCUUUGAUACUGUCGAUCUGGAGUAUGGAAGAGGUGAGUGGAAUUCCGAGUGUAGAGGUGAAAUUCGUAGAUAUUCGGAGGAACACCAGUGGCGAAGGCGGCUCACUGGUCCAUUACUGACGCUGAGGUGCGAAAGCGUGGGGAGCAAACAGGAUUAGAUACCCCUGUAGUCCCUGUCUCUUAUAC